UGGGGGAAGGAGUCAGAAUCAACUUUUACCAAAUCACCUGCUACAUUUGGAGAUGCGAGUGGAGUGCCUUUGGAACGACAGGAGCCAGAAGCAAACUGCCCCUAUCUUCUGGAGGGGGAUAUUGAGGCAUGGCAGGGGUUCUAGGAGUUGACUUUGCCCCGUAAAGUGGAGAGAAGCUUCCAGACCCCCAGCAGCACCUGAGCUAUGGGGCCCUGGAGCUGGAGAAGCUGCCACACAGCACCCCAGCUUCCUUUUGAGGACUCCCUCCCCUCUGCCAAGAUGCCCCCAUCCUCUCUGCCAAGGGGUGAUCAUGUGACCAAGGUCAAUCAGACUUUCUUACCAUGUCCCCAACUGUCAAAUAAAGUGUCAAGGGCAGAAAGAAAAAGCAGGGGUGCAUUUGUCGCAUUGGGAUGGAAACUCUCCUUCAGGAGGCUGCUAGUAACUCCUGCGCCAAGGUCCCCAGAAUUUCCUCAGUUCCUGACCUGUCCUUUCCUGAGCCCCCCAGUAAAUCCUGUUCCAGCUUGAGGUAGUAAGUGUUGGGCUCUGCUACUUGCAGUCUGUGAUGAAUGGGUACUUUGGUGGACUCCAAAAAGCCACACUGCCUGGUAUUCAAACCCUUGUGUGGGCCCCACCUCAUGAAACCGGGCUGGCUUUGGGACCUGUUUUGACCAAGAGAAGGUGGCAGAAGUGAUGCUGUGCCGGUUUUGCGGUUAAGCCUUAAGAGACCGUGGCAGCUUUCAUUUUUGCACUCUUAGAAGUCAGGCUACCCUGAACCUGCCAUACUGCGAGGAAGCCCAAGUAGCCAUAGGGCAGAGCCCACAUGGAGAAUAACUGAGCUCCCAUCUGGUGACCAGCAAGAGCUGCCAGCCAUUUGAAUGGGGUUGUUUUAGACCUGCCAGCUGAUAUCACAUGAAGCUGAAGAACCACCUGGUCAAACCACAGAAUCGUCCAAAAUAAAAUGUUGUUACCUUAAACCACUGAGUUUGGAGUGGUUUGUUAUACAGCAGAAACACAACCCAAGAAUCCUCAGUGACACUGAUCAGAGCCCAUUCCCCCAACAGAAAUGUCACAAAUGACUAUGAGGUUAAGACUUUCAGCCUCUUCGGCUAAUGAACACUUGGAGGAGAACAUCAUUCAUUCAUUCCUUUAGUCAUUCAUUCAAACAGCCAGUAAGCCUAGCACAGAUGGUACAAAGAUGAACAAGCUUCAGGACCUCCUGUUCUAGUGAGGGCAUCACACACAGUGCCUCAGUUUCCUUACUGAUAAAGUGAAGAUGAUAUUAGUCCCUGCUUCAAAGGCUUGCUGUGAUGAUGAAAUGCUGGGCAAAAAGUAAUCAAUAGAUAUUAGACAUUAUUAUUACUACACACUUGCAAUGCACAAUGUAAGUGUCCAGGGACACUUGCAAUGUCCCUGGAAGUGUAGCCAUUGGGUACAAAGUGUCACAACGGGAGACAAACUCAAAUGCCUACGUGGGCCAGGCAGAUAAUGUAAACGGGUGAAGUGGACGCAUAAGAAAACUCCACACCCCACUUCCUCUCCAGCUCUCAUCUGGCCACUUUUGGUAGAGAUGGAACAGAGAAAUAUUGCUCCACAAUGAGAAAAACAGAAGGGAAAGUGCAAUGAAAAGCCAAAUGAAUUGGUUCACAAUGUCAGGCUAUAGGGGAUGGUGGGGACCACAUCUCCCCAUUUUUCAGGAGAAGCUGAAAAUCCAGAUUUUUAAAAUGUGAAAUCUCGUAGUUGUUACAAAUCUGACAGCUUUUUAGAAGGUUCAAACAAAACAUUUCUGCGAGCUGAACAGAGCCCCUGGUUAGGUGGCCUGUGAUGUCCUAUUCUACCAGCAUGGCAGAGCAAGGAGAGACUUCGUUGUGUCUCUUUCCUCCUUUGUAAAACGGGGUUGGAAGAUCCCCACAUCGCUGAGUUAUUCCACAUUCACAGGAGCGCGCACUUAAACCACCACUAGCCUGUACAAAGUGCUCGGUAAAUGUGAGCUUUCAGGAGGGUAGGUUGGGGAGUGGAGGUUAAAGAGGCUGCUCUCCUGGGCUGUGACCGCUGUUCUUUCAGGAAGGGACAAUUUAGGGAAGGGAGUUGUCUUUUCAAGGGCACAUGCAGAAAUAUUUAACCCAAGAGCCCUCAUUAGAAUGUCACACCACUGACCUGGAAGACUAGCUUGGCCCCAGAGUCAUCAGAAGUGGAGGGUUCCACCAGCCCUUCUGCAAGGCCGUGAGGUCCCUGCCGUGGCAUAAAGGGGACGAUCCUUCCUCUGCAAGCAAUGCUAGCACAAAACCCCAGCUCUGGCACUGGGGAGCAAGUGAGUGUGUAUGAAACCAAUCCUCCCAGCCACCUGCUUAGCUUUUUGCAAAUGACUAACAGGUUUUGACAUCCUUGCCCUGAGCAGUCACCUUCGAGCAAACAUGCUAGCCAGAUGUGCCUGUAGCUCUCCAAGCCUCUUUCUUUUCUUGCUUCCUUCAUUCAAAAAAAAAUUUACUGAGUAUCCAAAGAGUGCCACCCUGGUUCUCAGUGCUGGGGAUACAGCGAUGAACAAGACAGACAAUGUCCCUACAAGCACAGAGCUUGCUUUUUAGUGAGGAGAGAGAAGACAAAGGACAAAUAAGCAAACCAGGCUAAUUCCAGAGAGUGAUAAGUGUUAUAAAACAUAAAACAGGUUGUCCUUCCAGCAUUCUAGGGAGGUGACAUUUCAGCUGAGAUCCGAAGCAUAGGAAGGAGCCAGGUCCUUUCCCAGUGUUUGAUUUAGAGGUGAGUGCAAAACCCAACUCCGGACCAAUGAAACAGAAAGCAAAGUCUGCUAGGGUGGGAGUGUUCUGGCAAGGAUUUUACUCUCUGAUUAAAAGAGAGACAGCAAGGAGUCCUGUCCUAUAGUCCCACUUUGUAGGGUGAUGCGACGUCUGGAGCUGUGGCAGCCAUAUUGAGACUAUGAGGCAACAAGGCCAAAGACAUGAUGAGGACAGAAGAAGAGGCUUGAAAGAUCCUGGGACCUUGGAUGACACUGUUGUACUGAAAAACCAGCGCCUGGACUCCCCUGCUUUGGACUUGGUGUUAUGUGAGAAUUAAAUGUUUCUAUUGCAUAAGCCACUGUCAGUCAGAAAUGUGAUUCCUCAUAAUGAAACCAUUUCAAUUCACAUUAAAAUGAUCAGGACUCUAAGCUACUAAGAAUUAUAGUAGGCUUUCCUGGUCUCUGAAAUAUCCAGAUAAGUGGCCUGCAAUCAGAAGUCUAUGGAUAGUAUCUGUCUCGAGAGCAGACCAGAAAUGUGGCUUUCAGAUGGUCUGAUUUUCACCAAGCAGGAACAUCUCCAAGGCUUCUGUGAGCUAACAGUUUUUUCAAUCUCUUUUCAAAAAGUUCCAGGCCAGGCAGGGUGGCUCACGCCUGUAAUCCCAGCACUUUUGGAGGGUCACUUGAGCCCAGGAGUUUGAGACCAGCUUGGGCAACAUAGCAAGAUCUCAUCUCUACCAAAAAAAAAAAAAAAAAAUUAGCUGGGUAUGGUGGCCUGUGCCUAUAGUCCCACCUACUUGGGAGGCUGAGGUGGGAGAAUCACUUGAGCUUGGGAGGUUGAGGUGGUAGUGAACUGAGACUGUGCCACUGCACUCCAGCCUGGAUGACAGUGCAAGACCCUGUCUCAAAAACAAAAAAGCUCCUCUUCUCUGGCUACUGGGGUGGGUCAAGUCACCCGCUGGGGUCCUGACCAUGAGCCAAUAAGAAAAGCUAUUGGCCACAUUCUUCCCCUAACACAUCUGGCUUCCACAUGGCCAAACACAUCUUUGGUACUAUUUGUGGUCCCUGGGGAUGGCCCUGUCCACCAACUUACACACACAAGACCUGGCCAUAACAACUCUGAGUUUGGGAUAGAAUUUAUCUAAGAUUCAAGCUGGGCCCAGGUGUGCAGAGCAGUGGGCCAGGCCUUCUGUAAGAUGACGCUCCAUGGCAGAGGCCAGGGCCACUGGGCAACGUGUGCUUUGGAAUCACAUUAAGAGAACGUGGGGAAUUCAAAACAUUCUGGUUACAGAGAAUUCCAAGAAGCCCUGGCCUGGGCUGGAGGAGAAGCUCUGAAGGCCAUGCCAACAGCUGUUCCACCCAGAAGGCAUCGUGCUGCCUACAAGGCCCGAGAUCCCACAUGACCUUAAGCAAUUUCCCAAGGGCAUCUGUGGCAGAGCAAUGAAUAUUUAGCUCUGUCUGUUAAUCACUGAGAAACCAGGCGAUGAAGAAGGGGAGGCUCAGCCCGAGCCUUCAGGAACUUCUUGGAAAUGUCAGAGAGGUGAGCAUGUGGGAUAUGCUAAAAAUAUUCAUCAAAUAGAUUCAUGACAGGCACUAGGGGGAGGCUGGGGGGAGAAAACCACACUAGAAAACAAAACACAUUCUCUCUGGAUAAUUGUGUCCAGUCCCACAGCUUAAAAUAACAUCAAUAUGCCGAUAACUCCCAAACUUAGGUUGCCAGCCCCGACCGGCUGCAGACAUCCACGUUCACCACCCACUGAGCUUUCAGACAUCCAGGUGGGGUUCAUCUCAAACCCAACAUUUCCACGUCGGAAUUCCAGAUCACUCCUCCUCCCCAAAACCUUCUCUCCUAUCUUCCCUAUUUAGCAAUCACCACGCACCAGGCUGCCUAGUCACCUUUGACUCCUUGGCAGGAUACAUCAUGAAUAUUUGGGCUGAAUCAUUUUUCACUGUGGGGUCAUCCCGUACAUUGCAGGUUAAGCAGCAUCCCUGGCCUCUACCCUCUAGAUGCCAGUAGCAACCCUUCCCCAGUUGGGACAACCUAUACUGUCUCCGGAUAGUGUUAAAAUGUUUUCUGGGUGUCAAAAUCACCCUCGGUUGAGAAUCAAAGCCCUUUCCCUCACUCUGUAAUCCAAUCCACUAGGAAGUCCUGUGGGCCCUACCUCCAAAAUACAUCUCCAAUCCCCAUUUCACUCCAUCUCCAUUGAUACCACCACGGUCCAAGCCACUCUCGGGCCCUCUCUGUUGCCUAACAGUCCCGGUGAUACCACUUCCAUCUGCACAGCACGCCUCUCACAGGAGCCAGCAGGAUCUUCUUGAAACACAAAUCAUAUCAUUCUCUGACUUAAAACCCUCCAAUGGUUCUCCAUUUUAUUUUUUAAUUUAUUUUUGAGAUGGAGUCUUGCUCUGUCACUCAGGCU